rnacentral:rRNA from 1 species
UACGAAGGGGCUAGCGUUGUUCGGAUUUACUGGGCGUAAAGCGCACGUAGGCGGAUCGAUCAGUCAGGGGUGAAAUCCCAGAGCUCAACUCUGGAACUGCCUUUGAUACUGUCGAUCUGGAGUAUGGAAGAGGUGAGUGGAAUUCCGAGUGUAGAGGUGAAAUUCGUAGAUAUUCGGAGGAACACCAGUGGCGAAGGCGGCUCACUGGUCCAUUACUGACGCUUGAGGUGCGAAAGCGUGGGGAGCAAAACAGG